rnacentral:rRNA from 1 species
GAUGAACGCUGGCGGCGUGCCUAAUACAUGCCAGUCGAGCGAACAGACGAGGAGCUUGCUCCUCUGACGUUAGCGACGGACGGGUGAGUAACACGUGGAUAACCUACCUAUAAGACUGGGAUAACUUCGGGAAACCGGAGCUAAUACCGGAUAAUAUAUUGAACCGCAUGGUUCAAUAGUGAAAGACGGUUUUGCUGUCACUUAUAGAUGGAUCCGCGCCGCAUUAGCUAGUUGGUAAGGUAACGGCUUACCAAGGCAACGAUGCGUAGCCGACCUGAGAGGGUGAUCGGCCACACUGGAACUGAGACACGGUCCAGACUCCUACGGGAGGCAGCAGUAGGGAAUCUUCCGCAAUGGGCGAAAGCCUGACGGAGCAACGCCGCGUGAGUGAUGAAGGUCUUCGGAUCGUAAAACUCUGUUAUUAGGGAAGAACAAAUGUGUAAGUAACUAUGCACGUCUUGACGGUACCUAAUCAGAAAGCCACGGCUAACUACGUG